rnacentral:rRNA from 1 species
GAUGAACGCUAGCUACAGGCUUAACACAUGCAAGUCGAGGGGCAGCAUUAUCGAAGCUUGCUUUGAUAGAUGGCGACCGGCGCACGGGUGAGUAACGCGUAUCCAACCUUCCCCAUAGUCAGGAAUAGCCCGGCGAAAGUCGAAUUAAUGCCUGAUGUUUUCCACGGACGGCAUCCGAUGUGGAACAAAGAUUCAUCGCUAUGGGAUGGGGAUGCGUCUGAUUAGCUUGUUGGCGGGGUAACGGCCCACCAAGGCAACGAUCAGUAGGGGGUUCUGAGAGGAAGGUCCCCCACAUUGGAACUGAGACACGGUCCAAACUCCUACGGGAGGCAGCAGUGAGGAAUAUUGGGUCAAUGGGCGGAAGCCUGAACCAGCCAAGUAGCGUGAGGGAUGACGGCCCUAUGGGUUGUAAACUGCUUUAUAAGGGAAUAAAGUGAGCCUCGUGAGGCUUUUUGCUAUGUACCUAUGAAUAAGGACCGGCUAAUUCCGUGCCAGCA